AUGAUACUCCAGUGGUCCGUUAGUGUUGCAGUUGUAGAAAAAUGGGGUCGGUUAGAGAAAUUGGUUGAGCCAAGACUCCGUUUCUUCAAUCCUUGAAGAGUUAGAUUUGGAAAAAAGGAAUGAUUCCUUAUAGGCGAAAUGUGAGUUUCUAUUAAUACAGGGUAUCAGGAUACAAGAUAUCAUUCGUUUCCCAAGGUUUUUUAGGUUCCUAUAACGGCCCUUGGCAUGACUCUUUUCCACAUUUUGGGCACCCAAAAGUUAUGAAGGGUAUGCAUCAAUUGGAGGUGGUUCACCUCUGAGAAAGAUA
rnacentral:lncRNA from 1 species